AACAGCGGCCCCUUCUGGUAUUCUCAUGUGCAGUUUGAAUCAAAUAAAUCAUUGAAAUGUUGUUCGCACAGCGACUUCGCCACGCUGGCCCAAGAAUACGCUGCAUUUAUAUGUUUGCAAAGAAAGUGAAAAGAUCGUGAUAUUAAAGGCAGAAUGUAGCAUUUCCGACCACAUGGAGCACAUACUAUUGAUCAGCACGACGAGCCAAGUCGAUAUCGGAAACUUUAAAAGUGGGACUGUGCUGCUGUUUAUCUCCCGCUGAGUGCUUUCAGCCUGAACUUCUUUUGAAUGGGCCUCAUAAAUGGGCUAAAUGCCGCGCUCCAGCACUUUUAGCCUAAGCAAGAUAUUGGCAACCAACAUUUCAUUCAAGUCGAAUUUUAAGCAUACUCAACGAAUUGGCCAGUCGUGAGCGUCUACUCGGCCUACGUCGUCCCACUUAGCUAUUGUAGCAUUGCUUCAAUGCUAACCGCAAAUUGGGACAGAAAGACCACAACAAAGGGAUGAUUUCGGUGCGACGCACGCAACCGCAACUAUAGAUAUACUUCUAGCAAUGUGCAUCUGAAUACUUAUACGUGUUAUACGAUACAGCUCACUUGUAUUUAUAUUUAAUUUAUGUAGUACUCGUAAAAAUUUAUUUUGAAAUACCCUGAAAUGUACACUGAAUCUGUCAAGCUUUUGCAUAAACUAUAUACACUUGUGUAAAUAAAAGAGUUCCCAUAUUUUGUACUCAUACGCACGCACUAAAUUAACUUAGAUACGUUAGCAAAACAAAUACCCAAAACAAUAUUA